AACGAACGCUGGCGGCAGGCCUAACACAUGCAAGUCGAGCGGACCCUUCGGGGUUAGCGGCGGACGGGUGAGUAACGCGUGGGAAUAUGCCCUUCUCUACGGAAUAGUCCUGGGAAACUGGGGGUAAUACCGUAUACGCCCUUUGGGGGAAAGAUUUAUCGGGGAAGGAUUAGCCCGCGUUGGAUUAGGUAGUUGGUGGGGUAAUGGCCUACCAAGCCGACGAUCCAUAGCUGGUUUGAGAGGAUGAUCAGCCACACUGGGACUGAGACACGGCCCAGACUCCUACGGGAGGCAGCAGUGGGGAAUCUUAGACAAUGGGGGCAACCCUGAUCUAGCCAUGCCGCGGGAGUGAUGAAGGCCUUAGGGUUGUAAAGCUCUUUCAGCUGGGAAGAUAAUGACGGUACCAGCAGAAGAAGCCCCGGCUAACUCCGU
rnacentral:rRNA from 1 species